rnacentral:rRNA from 1 species
UAUGUGAUCGUCUCUCGCAUAUCAAUAAGCGGAGGAAAAGAAACUAACAAGGAUUCCCCUAGUAACGGCGAGUGAAGCGGGAAGAGCUCAAAUUUGAAAUCUUGAAGGGUUUCCCUUUACGAAUUGUAGUUUAAAGAAGUGUUUUCUGUUGAGGUUUUGGUAAAAGUUCUUUGGAAUAGGACAUCAUAGAGGGUGAGAAUCCCGUAUUUGACCUUUACUUUCAACUUUGUGAUACACUUUCAAAGAGUCGGAUUGUUUGGGAAUGCAGUCCAAAAUGGGUGGUAAAUUUCAUCUAAAGCUAAAUAUUGGCGAGAGACCGAUAGCGAACAAGUACCGUGAGGAAAGAUGAAAAGAACUUUGAAAAGAGAGUUAAACAGUACGUGAAAUUGUCAAAAGGGAAGCGUUUGACACCAGUGUUGUUUUUCUGAAAAUCAAUUAAAGAACUGUUUAUGCUAAGCUGUUUAGACUUUAUCAGCUAAUCUGUUUAGUUUUGAGCUUUUCUUUAAUGCACUUUUCAGUUAACAAGUCAACAUCAAUUUCUUUUGCUGUAAAAAAGCUUGAGGAAGGUGGCUUGAGAUUCGUCUUAAGUGUUUAUAGCCUCUUGCCUAUGCAGUCGGAGAGAUUGAGGUCUGCAGCGUAGAUCCUUCGGGGCUAAAUGCAUUUGUGCUAAGUUAUAGCAUUUUAUAGACAACUUGUUGACUAUGAUUUGUCUUGUAGCUUACUCGCUUAUGUUAUUUUACCUACGCUUAGGAUGUUGAUCUACAGAGCGAGAGU